rnacentral:rRNA from 1 species
UCGUGGAGUGAUCUGUCUGCUUAAUUGCGUAUCAAUAAUAGAGACCUAGUAUACGCGUAGACUCACGUGGUAGUGACCCCCUCCUUCGCGAGGCGCGUGUCGCACACGUGUUAUACGCACAGGUCUCAGAUAGCAACGAACGUGACCGUAUUCUAUUGUUGCAGUGAAAUGCUUGCCUUCCCGGCAACGACCCACUGCUUAGUAUGCGUUGGCG